rnacentral:pre_miRNA from 1 species
UUUUUAGUGUAAGUAUGUCCCAUGCAACAUUUGGGACACACUUACACUAAAA